rnacentral:rRNA from 1 species
GGAUGGUAGUGUAUUGGACUACCAUGGCUAUCACGGGUAACGGAGAAUUGGGGUUCGAUUCCGGAGAAGGAGCCUGAGAAACGGCUACUACAUCUACGGGAGGCAGCAGGCGCGUAAAUUACCCAAUCCUGACUCAGGGAGGUAGUCACAAGAAAUAGUAUACCAGACACAUCGUGUCUAGUUUUGCAAUGGAUUUAGUUUAAACCCUUAUUUGAAAUCUAUUGGAGGGCAAGUCUGGUGCCAGCAGCCGCGGUAAUUCCAGCUCCAAUAGCGUAUCUUAAUGUUGUUGCAGUUAAAAAGCUCGUAGUCGAAUAUCUGACCGGGAAAACCGCACUUCGUGGGGAACUUUCCUAGGUCAUCCGCCUGAAAAAUUAGUGGUUUUUCAUCGCUCUACUUAUGGAUCAGGCACUUUACUUUGAAGAAAUUAGAGUGUUUCAGGCAGGCUAUCGCUUGAAUACACCAGCAUGGAAUAAUGGAAUAGGACUUUCAUCAGUUACUGGUUAAUGAUGUUUGUAAUGAUUAAUAGGGACAGUUGGGGGCAUUCGUACUUGACAGUCAGAGGUGAAAUUCUUCGAUUUGUCAAAGACGAACUAAUGCGAAGGCAUCUGCCAAGGAUGUUUUCAUUGAUCAAGAACGAAAGACAGGGGAUCAAAGACGAUCAGAUACCCGUC